GCAGUAGAAACGCUUUAGUGAUGUAUAUCUGGGUUUGAAUGAAUUGAUGCCUGUUAUAGCAAGGAUCGUCUAUUUAUUUCACUUGAGGAUUUCUUCCUUUGACGAAGAGUGCGAGAGGAUGGUAGUUGAAAGAUAUAGAGAGGAGAGGGAGAGGACUCGAUUAUCCUGGAUGAAAGCUAUGAUUCAGGGGAUCUGAUCCCCUAUCAGCUCAUAUUGACUAGGAAUCUAUGGCCUUUCGUGAUGGCGGCGUUUCAUCCAUGGAUGCGAUGCCAGUUACAGAGAUUCCAAGGAAAGACAAUUUCUUCAGCUGAGCAAGUGAACCAAAUGCAAUAGAGCAGUACUCUGAAAUAUUGGGACACGUGCAUGACCUAGCUAUAACUCUUUUCCAGUAGAUUAAUGCACACAGAAUGAUCCGUGUCAAAGUGACUUGUCAUACCACUGCAAUCGAUUGCAACCCUCAGGACUGUGGAAAUCAUGCAGCGCAAUGCAAUGAUCCUGUUCUUCGGUUUAACUAUGAUCUCGAUCUAAAGAACGGAAGAAAGCAAAGAAAAAAGAAGUCAACUCGAACAAAGUGUAAUCUAAGGGACAAGACGGAACGAGGAGCGAAGGUAUCUCUGUAUUUAUAUUUCUUUGACUUUCUUCGUCUCUUCUUUUGAGUUAUCUUCUGAGAUGUGUUCCUCCCUGGGUCAUUAUCGCUAGGUAGUCUUCCCUUUGACCACCAGCAUUGAAAACAGCCACAUCAACAAUCGCGUUGACCAAUUGGGUUCGCAUUCGUAAUAAUGGCACCUCUUUAUGUCAUCUGGCUCCCAUCUCAUCUCGCACCCCGUUUAUUUCCACGGAUAAAGAUGAGCGAGUCAACGAAAUUCGUCUCCUGCGCUGACAAGUUGAGUUCUUCCGUCUGUUCACGCAGGCUUCUCUCUCUCUCUCUCUCUCUCUCUCUCGGCCCAGAGAUGCAAUUGAAUGCCAUUUCAUGCCACUUGGAAUAACCAUUUAUAAGCCCGUAGAAGCAAACUUUGAACGAGACCAGUCACGAAGCCAGUAAUUCAUUCCACAGUAGUACAAAAAUAAACCAGCUGAUAAACCUGCUUUGGAGCAAAGUGAGUGACGCGCUGCUUGUCUCACGUUGAUGAGCAUUCUGCUCUUCUGUUCAGUGCAUAACGUCGGAACCAUUCGUUCAGGAUGGUCUCGGGCGCUAGUUUCGCAAGAUAGGUUAACAUGGAGUGUCUCCAGUAAGGGAGGAUCGAGGACCCGUAGCCGAUGGCGCGCACGGCCGGCGGAGCGUACUGCUCUGGCGUCGAAUUGAAGAAGGAACGUCUCUUGUCUGGCGCCAUUUUUGUUACCGCGUAGGCUGGAGUCUACACAACGACCAAUAAUUAUAAAGUGGAAACCAAGCAGCCGGACCGAAAUGAUCAUCCAAUCCAGUCUUGUUGCAUCUGUGCUUUGUUAGAAAAUGGGUGGAAUGGAUCUUAUAAAAGUCAUCUAUAUAAAGGUAUUAAGAGAUAAAAUUAUAUAAUUUUUUCGAAGUUGUGUCCCCCCUAUCUUGCUUCCUACCAUGUGGGCAAUGGGCAAUCCUAUCAAACCUGCUUCAAACAAAUAGAUGUAAUCAAAGUUAUGGAAUACGAGGUAUUAUUUACCUGGCAAUGGAUGUCGAUUCCAAUGCUUUUGUACUCAUGGUGCAAGCUCCUAGAUAAGGUAUCAACAUAUCUGGUACAAAAUUAGAUGGAAUUAGUAUAUGACGCAGAAAAGAACUUGCACGAUGUUAAUGAGAAAACUUUUGAGCCUUACUCCGUCAAGUAAACUCACUUUUUGGUCAAUAUACCAAAUAUAUUCUAGACAGUUUGGAGAAGGGACGCAUAUUUGCUUAGGGUAAAGACAGAAUAAAAUGAUAAAUCGACGCGGAAGUAAAAUACCAAAAGAUGUAGAAAGGCAAGGGGAAGAACUGUAAAUGGAAAUAUAUGAGCGAGCAGAAAUAAAAAAUGUAAAGGAAACUGAAUUUUAAGAAUAUUGAGAGGAGUGUAUGGGUAGCUAUGCGGAGAGAGAGAAUCGAAAUUGAAUCGAAAUUGAAAGAGGUGAAAGAUGCUAAAGAUACUGAAGACCUUGGAGGAAAGAGAAUGAAGUUGGCCUACCCUUUGGUUGCAGUGUACACAGCGAACAUCGGGUAAGAUGGAAGGAUCACCACAGACCCGGAGCCGAGGUUGGCGAUGGCUCCCUUCUUUUUCCUCAUCAUCUGCGGCAGCACCGCCCUGGUAAUCUCCGUCAACGACUCCAUGUUAACUUUGGUUAAAUCGGAGUACAGCUCCUCCUCCAACUCAUGCAGGUACUUCGGAACAUCAUAACACACACCAGCGUUAUUAACGAGCACCCCGACGUCGAGCUUCUCGAUGGCUUUCUUUAGACGCCGGACGCCGUCGGGGAUGUCACCGGCCAGGUCAAACACGACAGUCACGACCUCAACGCUCUUCAACUCGGCCUGAAUUGCAGCAGACACCAGCUUCAGCUUGUCGGGGUUCCGGCCGACGAGGAUUAGACUCAGGCCUUGCCUGGCGAGCUCAAAGGCCAUGGCCUUUCCGAUGCCGUCGGUUGGCCCCGUGACAAUCGCCCACCGGCCGUAGUCGAGAAGGUGUUUUGGUGGUCGGAGGAAGAAGGUGUAGACCCAUCGGAGGAAGGACAGAGAAAGCCUCGAGACUUGGAAGAGGCCGAGUGACAAUAGAAGGAUAACCCAUGUAGGUUGUGAUCGCAGAGUGUCUAAGAAGAGAAACUCCAUGAUCUCAGGACUGAAGGAGAUACAACACAUCCUUGGUUCGAAUAAGUAGGAGGCGAUCCGGACGAAACUAAAGUGGACGGUGGUCUGCAAAGUCAUGCACAAAAGCUAGAUCGAUGUGAUAUCAAUAAUGAGAAUUUUGUUACUGGAAAGGCCGAGAUUGUCUAAUGUGAUGUGUCGAAAGUGUUGGCAAAUUAAGGUCAUUGCAGUAUAAAGAAACCUGUUAGGAGGGCUCUAAAUAGGAUUUAACGGUUCAAAAUGUAUUUGCAUACACUCUAUCAGUCCAUGUAUUGAUCGUCGACAUCAAUGCACGUGUUGUCACCUGCCAAAACUUUAAUGCGAAGGAGAUGAUAGCUCACAUUUACUGACCUUUCCGGUCUCUCUCUCUAUCUCGCCUACGGCCAGCACGUUGAUUUAUUUUGUCGUGUCUUGCUUUUACACGUUACGUAUUUAUUGCUUUCGGUGUCAUUCUUGAAGUCCCGUGAUGUGCCCGAGCCCAUACGGAACCGACUCUAUCUGUCUAUAUCGUAAACAGCCACAAGAUAAAAUCCAAAUUGUCAACCAUCAGCUUCCAUUUUUACCCUGCGUGUUCUUAAUUAGUUGAUCUCAUUUAUCAAAUGGAUUGAUGGCCAACCAACGUGGAUCCUCUCAGUAACGGUUGGCUUAUAUGAAUUGAGCAUCUCGAAGGGGCCUCUUUCCUCAAUUUGAACGCUUGUGGGCAGAUAACCGAUACCCAAGCGCACAAAGACAAAUAAUUUUUAUGUUUUAUUUUGCUACAAUCGCGAUCGCAUUACUCUUAGUUGCAUGCAUUAGAGAGAAGUUACAUGGUCUCCUAUUAGAGUCAAUCUAAGAGGACUAACCUAUUCACACUCAACUAAAAAGAAUAGGAAUUCAGAUCAAGACUGAAACGAUUUGAGAGGCUGCGGCAUGAAACUCUUUCGCAUUUACCGACAAAUGGUAUCAGACAGAGAGAACUCUUGGAUAUAAACGUAGUACAUGUCAAAGGUUCAAAAUCUUUUAAGGGAAGCAGAUCCAACUGUGGGUUAUCCAGUUUUUAUGAGGCCCGGUCAUGUAUGCUUGCGUUCUUAAUACUUGAAUACUCCCCUUAAACAAGUUGACUGCUCUACCCAAGAUCCUAUAAACGCUCCAGUUACAUAAAGAUCCUUCAACGUUGAUGGUGGAUGUACAUCGGAAGAAUUCAUUACGCCCUUAGAAUGAAAGGAUAAACUGUACAGUUAGAAGUUGAUUAAAUGGUCCCUUUUCUAGUGCCAGGCAUAAACCUGCCGCGCACAUUCUUGAUUACUUUCUUCCGCGUAUAUACCUUACCUUGACAAUUAUCGAAAUUUGGGGAUUCCUUUUUCUUGAUUUGACCUCCUAUCAUUGGGCAGACCUCUGCAUUGCUCACCGGAAAGAGAAUCAGUAUCCUCCUUCAGACGUUCUGCAUCUUACUCGUUUCACGAUCUUAAGGAGAAAUGAUGUUUUGGUGGGCAUCUUCCGCGGCUUCGCGCCUGAAUAUGCGAUGUGCACGUCAGUAGCCUGUGCGUUGUUUGGCCGCUAUGCACCUGUGUUUGUACACGUCGGUAUUUCCCGCUCACGUCGGGCCAAACACAUGCCUCUCUUCCUCUCUCUCUUUCUUUAUAAGUCCUCUAUCUGGCCAAACACAUGGGACAAAUGGGAAAAGAGAUUUUCUAGACCCGGCUGAAGAGAAAGAGAGGAUUAAAGAAGGAUGGCCAACCACAUUCGGUGGUUGAAGUUUGGACUUUGAUACGCAUAAACAUUCGGAGAGUUAAAAUAAAUUUAAAUGUACCCGAGGACAAUACACAAAUAAGGAAAAGUUUGUUUACUUUAUUUGUCUCAGUGAAAUAACUGAAGCUUACCGUAAAUUUUAUAACUUACAUAGUGUCCUACAUGUUGUUCUAUAUACGUUUAGUAAGGAAUAUAUAAGAAUGCUAGGCGCUCAUACAUUUCCACAUGAAGAUAUAAACGUGGAAGGUUCUCACACAAGCUAACUUGAAAGCCUGCCUGGAGCUCAACUAAGAUUAUGGAAGCCAGUGAAAUUUUAUCACUCUAAUAGACUGGUCUAAGAAGCUCAAAAGACAAAUUCAAGCCAUAAACGGCAACUUUGAAGUCAAUUUAUUAUCAAGCAAACGUAGCUGGUAAACCCACGAGCAAUACCUUGCGUAAAACAUCACCUAGGAUAAGAUGGAUAACCCUGCUUUGUUAAAAACAGCGUCUGCCUGCACUUGUAUCAGGCAAAAUGAUAGAGCACUCUUCUGCGAAGGGCGGAAUGUAGGAGCCAUGCAUUAAGUAUACUCUCUGGCACGAAUUUCGCUAAGUAGCACUGUAGAGAGUGUCGCCAAUGAGGAAGGAUUGAAGUCCCGUAGCCGAUGGCGCGUACAGCCGGAGGAGCAUACUCUUCUGGUUUAGUAUUAAAAAACGAAGGUUUCUUGUCGGGGACCAUCUUUGUCACUGUAUAAGACGGAGUCUACGCAUAGACGAAAAGUUAAAUCCAGUCUACUAAAAGUAGACAAAAUAAUUACUUUCCUCUGAUGUUUAUUUCUACAGAAUGGAUUGAAUUCCUUGUGUAGAAUGAAUUGAUAAUUAUUAUACUCAGAAUUCAAUGAAAUCCAGUAAUGUUAACUCGUAGAUGAUAAUUGAGACUUUCGUGUAUAGUGGUUGUCAUUUGCGACUAGCAAAAAGCUUGGCCCAUUUUAGAAGGAUAUACAUGUAGCAUAUUACUUUGACUAAACUAAAUUAUUUGUGGACAGAAAUUGCUGGACGAUUUAGGUUACCUGGCAUUGGAUGUCAAUCCCAUGUUUUUUGUACUCAUGGUGCAAGCUUCUGGACAAGCUAUCAACGUAACUAUUAGAUAUUAAAAACCAUUUAUCAGUAUAUAGUGCUAACAUACCUGUGCAAAUUAAAUCAGCAGUUCCCGUCAGAAUUCUAUUUGAGUUGCUAGGAAAAUCUUGCCAAAUUUUUUGAUUUAAGUUUUGGGGGAGGGGAAAUAUUGGAGAAUGAAUCGGAUGACCAGAAACUAAGCAUCUGUAAAACGGACAAGCCUACCGAGGGCAAGGAUCUGUAAAAUUCCAAGAAAAUGGAGGACAAAAAGCUCAAGAAUUGGCGUUAGAAGCAAUAGAAGAACAAAGAUUAACCGCAUCAACAGAGAUAAACCCAUUAUAAGAACCAGAUAAAGAAAGAAAGCGAGAAAUCAUUGAUGUGACAAACAGCCAAAAGUGGAAAAACGACGACUAAAGGAAAAACGUAAAGUGUCAUUACGGAAUUUUAAAAUUCGAAAAGUGCCAUGAGAAACACCUACCCUUUGGUACCAGUAUACACAGCGAACAUCGGGUAAGAUGGCGUGAUCACUACAGACCCGGAGCCGAGGUUGGCGAUGGCUCCCUUCUUUUUCCUCAUCAUCUGCGGCAGCACCGCCCUGGUAAUCUCCGUCAACGACUCCAUGUUAACUUUGGUUAAAUCGGAGUACAUCUCCUCCUCCAACUCAUGCAGGUACUUCGGAACAUCAUAACACACACCAGCGUUAUUAACGAGCACCCCGACGUCGAGCUUCUCGAUGGCUUUCUUUAGGCGCCGGACGCCGUCGGGGAUGUCACCGGCCAGGUCAAACACGACAGUCACAACCUCAACGCUCUUCAACUCGGCCUGAAUUGCAGCAGACACCAGCUUCAGCUUGUCGGGGUUCCGGCCGACGAGGAUUAGGCUCAGGCCUUGCCUCGCAAGCUCAAAGGCUAUGGCCUUUCCGAUGCCGUC
rnacentral:lncRNA from 1 species